rnacentral:rRNA from 1 species
UACAGAGGUCCCAAGCGUUGUUCGGAUUCACUGGGCGUAAAGGGUGCGCAGGUGGGUUUGCAAGUUCGAUGUGAAAGCCCCGGGCUCAACCUGGGAAUGGCAUUUGGGACUGCAAGGCUGGAGUUUUGGCAGAGGAGACUGGAAUUCCUGGUGUAGCAGUGAAAUGCGUAGAUAUCAGGAGGAAUACCGAUGGCGAAGGCAGGUCUCUGGGCUAUAACUGACGCUCAUGCA